rnacentral:rRNA from 1 species
CCUUACCUACUCUUGACAUCCUGCGAACUUGGUAGAGAUACCUUGGUGCCUUCGGGAACGCAGAGACAGGUGCUGCAUGGCCGUCGUCAGCUCGUGUCGUGAGAUGUUGGGUUAAGUCCCGUAACGAGCGCAACCCCUAUCCCUGGUUGCUAGCAGGUAAUGCUGAGAACUUUAGGGAGACUGCCGGUGACAAACCGGAGGAAGGUGGGGAUGACGUCAGGUCAUCAUGGCCCUUACGGCCAGGGCUACACACGUGCUACAAUGGUGCGUACAGAGGGUUGCAAACCCGCGAGGGGGAGCUAAUCUCACAAAACGCAUCGUAGUCCGGAUCGGAGUCUGCAACUCGACUCCGUGAAGUCGGAAUCGCUAGUAAUCGCGAAUCAGAAUGUCGCGGUGAAUGCGUUCCC